rnacentral:rRNA from 1 species
CAGUCGCCGCGGGAAUACGUAGGUGGCAAGCGUUGUCCGGAAUUAUUGGGCGUAAAGGGCUCGCAGGCGGUUUCUUAAGUCUGAUGUGAAAGCCCCCGGCUCAACCGGGGAGGGUCAUUGGAAACUGGGAAACUUGAGUGCAGAAGAGGAGAGUGGAAUUCCACGUGUAGCGGUGAAAUGCGUAGAGAUGUGGAGGAACACCAGUGGCGAAGGCGACUCUCUGGUCUGUAACUGACGUUGAGGAGCGAAAGCGUGGGGAGCGAACAGGAUUAGAUACCCCAGUAGUCCCUGUCUCUUAUAC